CGUUAUGGACCCACCUGAUCCCAUGCCGAACUCAGUAGUGAAACGUAAUAGCGCCGAUGGUAGUGUGGGGUCUCCCCAUGUGAGAGUAGGACAUCGCCAGGC
rnacentral:rRNA from 1 species